rnacentral:rRNA from 1 species
UACGUAGGGUGCAAGCGUUAAUCGGAAUUACUGGGCGUAAAGCGUGCGCAGGCGGUGAUGUAAGACAGGUGUGAAAUCCCCGGGCUUAACCUGGGAACUGCAUUUGUGACUGCAUCGCUGGAGUGCGGCAGAGGGGGAUGGAAUUCCGCGUGUAGCAGUGAAAUGCGUAGAUAUGCGGAGGAACACCGAUGGCGAAGGCAAUCCCCUGGGCCACUACUGACGCUGAGAAGCGAAAGCAUGGGGAGCGAACAGG